rnacentral:rRNA from 1 species
CAAGACCUGCGCUUUUGGAGCGGCCGAUGCCUGAUUAGCUUGUUGGUAAGGUAAAAGCUUACCAAGGCUUCGAUCAGUAGCUGGUCUGAGAGGACGACCAGCCACACUGGGACUGAGACACGGCCCAGACUCCUACGGGAGGCAGCAGUGGGGAAUUUUGGACAAUGGGGGCAACCCUGAUCCAGCCAUGCCGCGUGAGUGAAGAAGGCCUUCGGGUUGUAAAGCUCUUUCAGCCGGAACGAAACGGUUACGGAUAACACCCGUGACUACUGACGGUAUCGACAGAAGAAGCACCGGCUAACUACGUGCCAGCAGCCGCGGUAAUACGUAGGGUGCAAGCGUUAAUCGGAAUUACUGGGCGUAAAGGGUGCGCAGGCGGCUCUGUAAGUCAGAUGCGAAAUCCCCGGGCUUAACCUGGGAAUU